rnacentral:rRNA from 1 species
AACGUAGGGGGCAAGCGUUGCCCGGAUUCACUGGGCGUAAAGCGCGUGUAGGCGGUCCGUUAAGUCGGGUGUGAAAUCUCCAGGCUCAACCUGGAAACUGCACCCGAUACUGGCGGACUUGAGGACGGUAGAGGUCGGUGGAAUGCCGAGUGUACCGGUGAAAUGGACAGAUAUUCGGCGGAACACCAGUGGCGAAGGCGGCCGACUGGGCCGAUCCUGACGCUGAGACGCGAAAGCCAGGGGAGCGAACCGG